UGUAGGUGUAGUUGUUGUGGUUGUUGUUGGCUCUUGAGUUGGAGUGGGAGGUGUAGUUGUGGUUGUAGGAGGCUUUGUAGUUGUCGGAGGGGUAGGUGCAGUUGUUUUGGUUGUAGUUGUCUCUGGAGUUGUAGUGGGAGGUGUAGUUGUUAUGGUUGUAGUUGUCUCUGGAGUUGUAGUGGGAGGUGUAGUUGUAGUUGUUGUAG